GACGAACGCUGGCGGCGUGCCUAAUACAUGCAAGUAGAACGCUGAAGAGAGGAGCUUGCUCUUCUUGGAUGAGUUGCGAACGGGUGAGUAACGCGUAGGUAACCUGCCUGGUAGCGGGGGAUAACUAUUGGAAACGAUAGCUAAUACCGCAUAAUAGCAGUUAUUGCAUGAUAACUGUUUAAAAGGUGCAAUUGCAUCACUACCAGAUGGACCUGCGUUGUAUUAGCUAGUUGGUGAGGUAACGGCUCACCAAGGCGACGAUACAUAGCCGACCUGAGAGGGUGAUCGGCCACACUGGGACUGAGACACGGCCCAGACUCCUACGGGAGGCAGCAGUAGGGAAUCUUCGGCAAUGGACGGAAGUCUGACCGAGCAACGCCGCGUGAGUGAAGAAGGUUUUCGGAUCGUAAAGCUCUGUUGUAAGAGAAGAACGAGUGUGAGAGUGGAAAGUUC
rnacentral:rRNA from 1 species